rnacentral:rRNA from 1 species
UUUGGUCGCCAACGAGUGGCGGACGGGUGAGUAACACGUAGGUAACCUGCCCAGAAGCGGGGGACAACAUUUGGAAACAGAUGCUAAUACCGCAUAACANCGUUGUUCGCAUGAACAACGCUUAAAAGAUGGCUUCUCGCUAUCACUUCUGGAUGGACCUGCGGUGCAUUAGCUUGUUGGUGGGGUAACGGCCUACCAAGGCGAUGAUGCAUAGCCGAGUUGAGAGACUGAUCGGCCACAAUGGGACUGAGACACGGCCCAUACUCCUACGGGAGGCAGCAGUAGGGAAUCUUCCACAAUGGGCGCAAGCCUGAUGGAGCAACACCGCGUGAGUGAAGAAGGGUUUCGGCUCGUAAAGCUCUGUUGUUAAAGAAGAACACGUAUGAGAGUAACUGUUCAUACGUUGACGGUAUUUAACCAGAAAGUCACGGCUAACUACGUGCCAGCAGCCGCGGUAAUACGUAGGUGGCAAGCGUUAUCCGGAUUUAUUGGGCGUAAAGAGAGUGCAGGCGGUUUUCUAAGUCUGAUGUGAAAGCCUUCGGCUUAACCGGAGAAGUGCAUCGGAAACUGGAUAACUUGAGUGCAGAAGAGGGUAGUGGAACUCCAUGUGUAGCGGUGGAAUGCGUAGAUAUAUGGAAGAACACCAGUGGCGAAGGCGGCUACCUGGUCUGCAACUGACGCUGAGACUCGAAAGCAUGGGUAGCGAACAGGAUUAGAUACCCUGGUAGUCCAUGCCGUAAACGAUGAGUGCUAGGUGUUGGAGGGUUUCCGCCCUUCAGUGCCGGAGCUAACGCAUUAAGCACUCCGCCUGGGGAGUACGACCGCAAGGUUGAAACUCAAAGGAAUUGACGGGGGCCCGCACAAGCGGUGGAGCAUGUGGUUUAAUUCGAAGCUACGCGAAGAACCUUACCAGGUCUUGACAUCUUGCGCCAACCCUAGAGAUAGGGCGUUUCCUUCGGGAACGCAAUGACAGGUGGUGCAUGGUCGUCGUCAGCUCGUGUCGUGAGAUGUUGGGUUAAGUCCCGCAACGAGCGCAACCCUUGUUACUAGUUGCCAGCAUUAAGUUGGGCACUCUAGUGAGACUGCCGGUGACAAACCGGAGGAAGGUGGGGACGACGUCAGAUCAUCAUGCCCCUUAUGACCUGGGCUACACACGUGCUACAAUGGACGGUACAACGAGUCGCGAACUCGCGAGGGCAAGCAAAUCUCUUAAAACCGUUCUCAGUUCGGACUGCAGGCUGCAACUCGCCUGCACGAAGUCGGAAUCGCUAGUAAUCGCGGAUCAGCAUGCCGCGGUGAAUACGUUCCCGGGCCUUGUACACACCGCCCGUCACACCAUGAGAGUUUGUAACACCCAAAGUC